UGUCCAGCCCACUUCACCUCUUUUACUUUCUAUGAGACACAUCUUGGGGACAUGUUUCUCCUUUCUCCUAAAGCAAGUAAGAGUCCUCUCCCUCCCUGGAGCAAGGACCAACCGGUGCCGGCUCUUUGGGGUUGAACAUUGCUGGCUCCAGAUGCUGAAUGGGAAUUUGGCUGGAGGUUCGAGUGUCUGCCAAACCAGGGGAAACAUCCCAGGCCGUUGUAAAGGCCAGCAACCACUCCCCACAAACUAAGAACAUUUCAAGAAUGACUACAGGAAUUGGAAGAAAAUGAGGGAAGGUGGGCUAGUCUGGAUUUUUUAAGGUAUUAGCCUGGAGCACUGAGACCUACAAAUUCUGAGAGAUUGGAGUUCUGGUUCCUACAGGAAUCCCAGUAUGGGCAAGGCUGGUGAGGAAACUGGAAAUACGAUAAACAUAGACUACUAGAAGCAAUCAGACCUGCUAGGCCCAAAGUAGCAAGACAGAAGCCAACCAUGAGAGCUGGCUUCCAACCAUGAGAAGGGCCAUCAGAAGAGAUGAAUUAAAAGAAAAAAUACUCAUCAAAACUGA